CAUUCAAUUUGGAUGGUUAUGCCGUUGACUGUCUUCGGCAUAACCAUUCAACUUGGAUGGUUAUGCCGUUGACUGUCUUCGGCAUAACCAUUCAA
rnacentral:miRNA from 1 species